CAGUCUGCUGCUAGUAGCCAGGAAAACACCACCCAGUUGGAGCUGCUGCUUGUGACAUCUUGGAGGGAGCCUGGAGCACAUGAAUAUUAAUUUUCUAAACAUUGUAGAUGCCCUGAGGACUGGAUAGAAUCACCUGGCAGGCUGGAUUUGGCCUGCGGGCUGUAUUUUGCCUGCUCCUGAUUAUAAGCCCUUGGCAUCAGGUCCUCAUCUAUGCAUCAGAAUGCUGGAGAAUAUCACCAAGUAUGGAAAAGAGAACUGAAGCAAGUGAGAUGUGGUUCUUAAGGCACAUCUUGAAGGUAUCUUGGACAAGUCACACUUCAAAUAAAGAUAUUUUGUUAAGAGCAGGCUGCAGGAGGAAACUGCUGAUCAACGUCAGAAGAAGACAGUUCAAGUUUCUCAGACAUGUUCUGAGGGAAUUGAAAGUAUUUUCAUAACUGGAAAGACUGAAGGAAGGAGAGAUUGUGGAAGACAGAGGUUGACAUAUGUUAAGGGUCUGUCUAAAUGGAUGAAUGUAUCAACACUGGAAAUUCUGUAUGCCUCAAAGAGAAGAGAUCUGUGGAAGACCAUGGUCACCAAUGUCCUAUUUGGAUAUGGUACCUAGAGAGAGAGAGAGAGACUUUAUGGAUAAAGAAGUUAGUAAAGGUACACUGCAAUAAAAAGUUUCGUAACAUUUAUUAAAUGUUUAUCACAGUGUAUUACCAACUGAAUUGAGCAAGUAUUCUCUGCAUAUAUACAGUACAUUCAGAAACAGCAUUUUCAGUCUAUUC